rnacentral:rRNA from 1 species
AGUGAACGCUGGCGGUAGGCCUAACACAUGCAAGUCGAACGGCAGCACAGUAAGAGCUUGCUCUUACGGGUGGCGAGUGGCGGACGGGUGAGGAAUACAUCGGAAUCUACUUUUUCGUGGGGGAUAACGUAGGGAAACUUACGCUAAUACCGCAUACGACCUACGGGUGGAAGCAGGGGAUCUUCGGACCUUGCGCGAUUGAAUGAGCCGAUGUCGGAUUAGCUAGUUGGCGGGGUAAAGGCCCACCAAGGCGACGAUCCGUAGCUGGUCUGAGAGGAUGAUCAGCCACACUGGAACUGAGACACGGUCCAGACUCCUACGGGAGGCAGCAGUGGGGAAUAUUGGACAAUGGGCGCAAGCCAGAUCCAGCCAUACCGCGUGGGUGAAGAAGGCCUUCGGGUUGUAAAGCCCUUUUGUUGGGAAAGAAAAGCAGCAGGUUAAUACCCCGCUGUUCUGACGGUACCCAAAGAAUAAGCACCGGCUAACUUCGUG